rnacentral:rRNA from 1 species
UGUAAUACUGUAUAAUCCCUGCGGGGGAAAGAUUUAUCGCUAUUAGAUGAGCCUACGUUAGAUUAGCUAGUUGGUAAGGUAAUGGCUUACCAAGGCUAUGAUCUAUAGCUGGUCUGAGAGGACGAUCAGCCACACUGGAACUGAGAUACGGUCCAGACUCCUACGGGAGGCAGCAGUGGGGAAUAUUGGACAAUGGGCGAAAGCCUGAUCCAGCUAUGCCGCGUGAGUGAAGAAGGCCUUCGGGUUGUAAAGCUCUUUCAAUAGGGAAGAUAAUGACGGUACA